GCAAAUCGGCGGUGGGUAUGUUGCUGCCCUUUCUUGAACGCUUUCCCGCUAAGGUCUGCUCCGAUUUCAAUCUCGGAUUAGGGCUUCCGAUCCUCUGGUGACGGGUCUUUGAGGCCUCUAGUUGGUCUCGAGAAGACGCCUGUCGCAUCCUCGAGCGAAUCGCGAAGCGAAGCCCUCCACGAUCUGGAUAGAUGGUUGAUUAGCAGGAAAGUGCUGCGGAUGCUUUGGAUUUGUGUCGGAGUUGUUACUCGACCAGAAGAUUUGGAUUUUCUGAUGCUCUUUUUUUUGUUGGAUCUGUUUUUUCCGAUGAUCCUUGGAAAAUUUUGUCAUGGUGAUUACCUUAAUCUUUUUCCAGACAUGAAAUUUUGAGAACUAAAUGACCGUAUGUAUCUUGAAGACUAGUACAGGAACCGGAGGAACAGGUGAUGGGAACAUCUGGUACCAGGCUGCGAUUCUUUGCUCCGGGAAGAUUCACGUGUGGGUUUUCUUGCCGACCUCCAGCAUUAGUCUCACAGUCUGCACUAGCGGUAGUGCGAAAAGGGUUUUUGAUACUGUGUUGGCCAUCCACCUACAACCUAGCAGCUGAUGCUGAACAUUUCCGAAACUCCCAAGCACAACGGUCCUCCUGUCUCAGAAUGGCUAUGGGAUGCCAUUUGUGGUUGUGCCGCAACCAUCAAGGAAACUCAUCAAGGACCAAAUCUUUUGCAGAGGGGACCGGUGAUGCAUAUCUCCACGGUAGCUGUUGAUGAUGAUGUUAAUCCAUGCACUCCAUCAUCCGUCGCCAUCCUGGAAUGGCACUGGAGGAGGCCCCCGCGGGCUGAAGACUGCUUUAAGAUUUUACAAUGCGUGAACUGCAGAAUGAUUGUCCUGUUUCUGAUAUGGACAUUCCUCAGCUCGCGAUGUCUUGUCAUCGGUCAUGGUUUCUUUUGAACAGGCUUCGAUUGGGUAUAUUAUAUUCAUAUCUCAGAGAACAAAACAGGUCAGUACUUUUUGUUUCCUUAAUGUUCUACCCUAUUCAAAGUGGAGUAUUUAUUUACUUGUUUUGGCUAGAAUUGCACUAUUUAGAUUAAUUAAAUGAUACCAGAAGCUUUUUUUUAAUGACUUAAAUAACCUAAUAUCAUUUUUCCUUGCGUGCUGGUUGCGUAUGUUUAUUAGCUUUAUAUUAGCUUUAUAUGGUUAUUAUUAUGUCUAUUGUGUAUGUUUACAUGCUUCUUAUUUGUAGUGGCACACUUGUUCGAAUAAUCAUGAAACAAAAUCACGCAAAUCCUUGCCUGCUGAUUAAUCUAAAUUUUUUGGGUUUAUACUCUUCAUCCCGAUGCAUUCAAGUCUUUAGUAGUACAGAGUGAUCUAUAUAUAUCUAUUAAUCUUCUUAAAUUUCACAUGAAGUUGAAGAUCAUAUGCGUCUUCGUCUAUGUCCACUCACGCAACUUCUACUUGAACACCUUAACUUGUCCUGUCUUGAUAUGUGGUGGGAAAAACAUGUUAAAGCGGAAUAAUUCUUUCUCUCUUUGUGUAUCAAAAUAGGUUUUUUAUCAAAAUACCAACUUGAUAUCCAAAUGCAAAUAUUAACCAGCAUAGCAUAAACAAUAGAGCAAAAAAUAAAUCACACAGUGAGACCAAAUCUUUUAAUGUGGAAAACCCAAUGUGGGAAAAACCACGGGACCGUAGUCCACCUCAAACUUCCACUAUCAAUAAUAAUGAUAACGAGUUUACAGUAGGUCUUCUCUAGAAUAACUAGAGCAUCAGAAUAACAUUAAGAUCAUAGAUCUUGGCUCAAGAAAAGCAUGUCUUUAUCAUGUCGGAUGGAUCUCCUCAAAAAAGAAUUCUAAGUAUAUAUUUCCUGUUUCAAGCCCGAUUCCUGUAGAAACUUUUUCAUCCAUAAAGUUUCCUUACAGGCUUCAGUAACUGCUAUGUAUUCUGCUUAUGUGGUUGAUAGAGCAACACAUUUCUGUAACUUAGACUGCCAAGAGACUGCUCCUCCUGCAAAUGUUAUUAAGAAUCCCGAAGUGGACUUCCUGGAAUCAGUAUCACCUGCCAUGUCUGCAUAUGUGUAACCUUAUAACACAGGUUCAUCACUGCCAAAACAUAAACACAACCUAGAAGUACCUCUUAGAUAUCUUAAUAUCCAUUUCACUACUGCCCAAUGUUCCUUUCCAGGAUUUGAGAGAAAUCGGCUGACAACUCCAACUGCAUGAGCAAUAUCUGGCCUAGUACAAACCAUAUUAUACAUCAAACUGCCUACUGCAGAUGAGUAAAGCACUCUGGACAUUUCUUCUUUUUCUUUCUCACUUGUAGGAUAUUGUUUCGAACUAAGCUUGAAAUGACCUGCAAGUGGGGAACAAACUAGUUUGGCUUUACUCAAGUUGAAUCUUUCAAGAACAUUUUCAAUAUAAGUCUCCUUAGAUAGCCAAAUCUUCUUUUUCUUCCUAUCACGAAAAAUUUUCAUGCCAAGUAUUUGUUUCACCGAUCCCAAGUCUUUCAUGGCAAAAGACUUACUUAGCUCUUUUUUAAGCUUUCCAAUUUUUUCAAUAUCAUGGCCAACAAUCAGCAUAUCAUCAACAUAUAGUAGUAAAAUAAUAAAAUCAUCAUAUGAAAAUUUCUUCAUAAACACAUAAUGAUCAGAUGUGGUUCUAUCAUACCCUUGGCUCAUCAUAAAGGAAUCAAACUUCUUAUACCAUUGUAUAGGUGCCUGUUUGAGUCCAUAUAAGCUUUUCCUAAGCUUACAUACAAGAUUUUCUUUUCCCUUGACUUUGAAACCUUUUGGUUGCUCCAUGUAAAUUUCUUCUAAAUCACCAUGAAGAAAUGAUGUUUUUACAUCAAGUUGCUCAACUUCUAAAUUCAAGCGAGCAGGCAAACCAAGAACAACUCGGAUAGAGGACAUUUUCACAACCGGAGAAAAUAUUUCUUCAAAGUCAAUACCUUUCUUCUGACUGAAUCCUUUCACAACUAGUCAUGCCUUGUAUCUCUAUUGUGAGCUAUUACCUUCAGUCUUCAAUUUGUAAACCCACUUAUUCUUGAGAGCUUUCUUCUCUUUAGGCAACUUUACCAAGUCAUAGGUGUAGUUCUCAAGCAAGGAUCUCAUCUCUUCUUACAUGGCUUUAACCCACUCGUUCUUAUUCUCAUGUAGAAUAGCUUCUUGGUAAGUUUCUGGCUCUCCCCCGUCAGUAAGCAUAACAUACUCAUGUGGAGGAUAUCUGAUAGAGGGUUGUCGCUCUCUAGUGGAUCUUCUCAAUAGAAUCUCAAUUGGUGGUGGAGGUAGCUGUUUAGUUGGUUCAGCAUCAUCAACUGUAGGUGUAUCAUCACUGGUAUUCUCAUCGCAAUCUUCUUGUUCAUCUCCCCCAUGAUCAUCAUGAACUACAGGUGAAGUAACUGGACCCAAACUCCAAGGAAUAUAAAUAGAGGUUUCUGGCUUCUCAACAUUUUCACCAUCAUCAAAUAAUUAGUCUUCAAGAAACAUAACAUCUCUGCUUCUAAUAAUCUUCUUGUUCACUUGAUCCCAUAAUCUGUACCCAACUCUUCAUGACCAUAUCCCAAGAAGAUACAUGCUUUUGCUUUACUAUCAAGCUUGGACCUCUCAUCUUUGGGAAUAUGAACAAAUGCUUUACACCCAAAGACUUUUAAGUGAUUAUAAGAUAUAUCUUUUCCUCUCUAUACUCUCCGGAACAUCACCUUGCAGAGGAACUGAUGGAGAAAGAUUUAUCAGGUCAACUGUAGUUCUCAUAGCCUCCCCCCAAAAUGACUUUGGUAACUUGGUGUGGGAAAGCAUACACCUAAUCCUUUCUUCAAUGGUUCUAUUCAUUCUUUCUACCACACCGUUCUGCUGAGGAGUUUUAGGAAUUGUUUUCUCAAGCCUGAUACCAUGGAACCUGCAAUAAUUCUCAAAAGGACCCUUGUACUCGUCACCAUUAUCUGAUCGAAUACACUUUAGUUUUCUGUCAGUUUCUCUUUCAACACUGACAUGAAACUCUUUGAAAACAUCGAGUACCUGGUCUUUAGAUUUCAAAGCAAAAGCUCACACUUUUCUAGAAUAGUCAUCAAUAAAAGUAACAAAAUAAAGAGCACCUCCAAGAGUUCUAGUUUGCAUAGUACAAACAUCAGUAUGAACUAAAUAAAUAACAUCUGAUCUUCUAGAUGAUGGAUAUGUCUGAAAUGCAACUCUAUGUGUUUUUCCAACUAAGUAAUGAUCACAAGAUUUAAGAGAUGUACCUUGCAACUCUGGUAAGAACUGCUUUCUAGCAAGAGUUUGAAGUCCCUUAUCAUUGAUAUGUCCAAGCCUCUUGUGCCAAAGAUCUAUACUUUCACCUUUUCGAAUUGUAUUAAUCUCUCCUUUGUGUAGCUUAGCUUCCAUGACAUAAAAAGAGUUAAUCUUCUUUCCUUUUGUCACAAUUAGAGAACAUUUAGUGAGUUUCCAUUUACUUUCACCAAAAUAGUGUGUAAAGCCCUCAUCAUCAAGUCUACCUGUAGAUAUCAAGUUAAGACGAAUAUCUGGAACAUGCCUUACAUCUUUGAGUAUUAAUUUGCUCCCAAUACUGGUCUCAAGCAAAUAUCUUCAAUACCCACAAUUUUAGAUGUACCAUUGUUUCCCAUUCUUACAUUACCAAAAUCACCAACAGUGUAAGAUAUAAAGAAAUCACCAUGAGAAGUGACAUAAAAUGAAGCACCAGAGUCAAUUACCCAAUUACUGUCCUGAGCUACAAGGCUAACACAACCUUCAUCACAGAUUAGUGAUAUUACCUUCAGCAGUAAUUGUAUUGGUCUCUUUCUCAUUUUUCUUCAUUUCAUUCUAUUCUCGCUUCCAAAACCUACACUCUUUCUUCAUGUGACCUGGCCUGUUACAGUGAAAACAUUUGAUAUCUUUUCUAGACUUGGAUCUUCCUCUAUAUCCAUGUGGAUUUCUGAUAUGACUUCUUCCACGUCUUUCUUGUUUUUUAGUAACAAAUGCACCAGAAGAAGAUUCACCCUGUUCUUUCCUUCUGUCAUCUUUAUUUAGCAAACUGUCUUUAACCAUAUCUAUAGUUAGUGUCCCUUCUGGCGUGGAGUUACAAAUAGUCACCACAUACGUUUUCCAACUUUCUAGUAAAGAGCUAAGAAGUAAUAAUCCUUGCAUCUCAUCAUCUAUAUUCAUUUUCAUAGCAACCAACUUGUUUGCAAGACUCUGAAAUAGGCUUAUGUGCUCAACAAUGUUACCACCAUCUUUAUACUUCAAAUUUACAAGCCUUCUGAGGAGAGAAAUUCUAUUUUCCACUAUCUUUUUCGCAAAGAGGUUUUCUAACCUUUGCCAAACAAUAUCAGCUUUGGUUUCAUCUCAAAUAUGCUCAUGUAAGUUUAUAUCCAUCCAUUUUCUAAUAUAGGCAAUAGCUUUUCUAUGUUGAACUUCCCAUUCUUCAUCGUCUAUAGUAGAAGGUUUAUCUUUAACCAUUAUAGGCUUAUACAAAUCUUUGCAAUAUAACAAAUCUUCCAUCAGACGCCUCCAAGUGAAAUAAUUUGAUGAGUUCAAUUUAAUCAUACCAUCUGACUGCUCAAUUUCAAUCAAACAAGAAAAACUAGCACAAAACAAUCUGAUGCUCUAAUACCACUGGUUGGGAAAAACCUGUUAAAGCGGAAUAAUUCUUUCCCUCUUUGUGUAUCAAAAUAGGCUUCUCAUCAAAAUACCAGCACAACAUAAACAAUAGAGCAAAAAAUCAAUCACACAGUGAGACUAAAUCUUUUAACGAGGAAAACUCAAUGUGGGAAAAACCACGG